rnacentral:rRNA from 1 species
UACGAAGGGGGCUAGCGUUGUUCGGAAUUACUGGGCGUAAAGGGCGCGUAGGCGGUGUGUCAAGUCAGGCGUGAAAGCCCCGGGCUCAACCUGGGAACAGCGCUUGAGACUGGCACGCUCGAGUUCGGGAGAGGAUGGUGGAAUUCCCAGUGUAGAGGUGAAAUUCGUAGAUAUUGGGAAGAACACUGAUGGCGAAGGCAGCCAUCUGGACCGACACUGACGCUGAGGCGCGAAAGCUAGGGGAGCGAACGGG